AGAGAGGGAUAACCUCCGGAAACGGAGGCUAAUACCUCAUAGGUAAUGAAAACGCCUGUUUUCAUUAUUAAAGGCGGCCUUUGGCUGCUGCUCAUGGAUGGCCCCGCGGCGUAUUAGCUAGUUGGUAAGGUAAUGGCUUACCAAGGCAGUGAUACGUAGCCGACUUGAGAGGGUAAUCGGCCACACUGGGACUGAGACACGGCCCAGACUCCUACGGGAGGCAGCAGUAGGGAAUCUUCCACAAUGGGCGCAAGCCUGAUGGAGCAAUGCCGCGUGAGUGAAGAAGGUCUUCGGAUCGUAAAGCUCUGUUAUCGGAGAAGAACAGGGGAUGUAGUAACUGGCAUCCCUCUGACGGUAUCCGACCAGAAAGUCACGGCUAACUACGUGCCAGCAGCCGCGGUAAUACGUAGGUGACAAGCGUUGUCCGGAUUUAUUGGGCGUAAAGCGAGCGCAGGCGGUCUUUUAAGUCUGAUGUGAAAGCCCACGGCUCAACCGUGGAAGGUCAUUGGAAACUGGAAGACUUGAAUACAGAAGAGGA
rnacentral:rRNA from 1 species